GAUGAACGCUGGCGGCGUGCCUAAUACAUGCAAGUCGAGCGAACAGACGAGGAGCUUGCUCCUCUGACGUUAGCGGCGGACGGGUGAGUAACACGUGGAUAACCUACCUAUAAGACUGGGAUAACUUCGGGAAACCGGAGCUAAUACCGGAUAAUAUAUUGAACCGCAUGGUUCAAUAGUGAAAGACGGUUUUGCUGUCACUUAUCGAUGGAUCCGCGCCGCAUUAGCUAGUUGGUAAGGUAACGGCUUACCAAGGCAACGAUGCGUAGCCGACCUGAGAGGGUGAUCGGCCACACUGGAACUGAGACACGGUCCAGACUCCUACGAGAGGCAGCAGUAGGGAAUCUUCCGCAAUGGGCGAAAGCUUGACGGAGCAACGCCGCGUGAGUGAUGAAGGUCUUCGGAUCGUAAAACUCUGUUAUUAGGGAAGAACAAAUGUGUAAGUAACUAUGCACGUCUUGACGGUACCUAAUCAGAAAGCCACGGCUAACUACGUG
rnacentral:rRNA from 1 species